UCGCUCUUAGGGAAGAAAGAGAUGCAGACUCAAGGCCAGUUGGUGCAUUGCAUGCUGGGGCCAGGCACUGAGUCCAGGCCUCACCUUGACCUCCUCCUCCAGCUGCCUCUUGAGGUCCUCCAGCUGCUGGGUAUAGCUUAGCCCGCUGGCUGGUGAGGUCAUUGACAGAACGCUGGGUCUCCUCAGCCUUGCUCCGGUGCUCAUUCAUCUGGUCUUCCAAGGUCCGGCACAUCUUCUCCAGCUUCUGUUUCACCCGCUGCAGGUUGUCUAUCUGCUCGCCCAGCUCGGCCACACUGUCAGCAUGCUUCUUGCGCAGGGCCGCAGCCGUGGCCUCGUGCUGCAGAGUGGCCUCCUCCAGGUCCCGCCGC